CGCGAGCCGACACAGUGGCAUCUCCCACUCCUCCCCCUCCCCCCUCUCGCCGCCGCCCAUCGCGGAGACCUCCCCCGCCGCGCCGCCGCCCCUCCCCCGCCUCGUCGUCUCUCCGGUGACGGUGAGCCCCUCGUUCACCGCGCGACCGAUUCGAUUCGAUCUCCGCGAGGCUCACCCCACGCACGGUCCUCGUCAAGAUGCUGAUGCACAACGUGCACCACCUCCGUGGUGGCCAGCUUGUUGAUCUCAACAGGGUGAAUGCAGGCCCUGACCAUAACCGCGGGGUGCCAGCCAAUGGUGCCCAUCAGUUUAAUUGGUCAGGGUUCAGUCUCAUGCUGUUCGGUGCAGCCCCGAUGAUGGUUUUGCCUUGGCAGGUGGUACAUGUGCCGUGGCCUCUGCUGCUUCUUGCGUUGAUGACCUGGUUCAUCGGCUGCCUCAGGCUCUACGGUUUUCAAAUCGCUUUUCCUGUAUAUUAUCAUCAGCACGGUGGCAACAACAGCCAAGGUGUAGCAGCGCCAGCAAGCACAGGACGUUAAGACACAUACCACUAAUUCUUUUGUUGCAAACCAUCCUAUAAAAGCAGGGAAUGGAUCAACCAUGACUUGUUGAAAAUCUAGACCACGGGAUCUGAUAUAUUUUCCUAAUUCACAUAUAAUUGGUUUUAUUCUUACAUAACUCGUGUGUGCUGCCCUGAAACCCUCAGUGUCAUGUUCAUGCCAUAUGGGAUCCCAUGCGAGUAAACAGUUUCACACACCAUUCACAAAUUGGGUUGUGGGUGUAACCAUACAAAACUUACAUUACUCUUGCAACGUGCAGGGAUGGAAUGGUGAAUAAUGCAGAGAUGGAGGAGGAGAACGCCAUUCCGGAUGAGGGCAGUCUGGCCUGGAGCGGCUACGCCCUGAUGGUCUUAUCAGUGUUGGCAUUGUGGUCUGGCUUGGUCACUGAACCGGUGGCGGUCUUCCUGUCCUUCCUGCUUCUGCUGCUUGGGUGCGGCUUUCUUCACCUCGCCAUGCUCGCACCGUCCAAGCCCAAGAUGUUCUGAUUGAUCACAAGCAAUUCCAACACGGGGCGAUUAUAAGAAUUUUUGGUAUCGUGUGUUUAUAGGUUUGUGCGUGUAUGGUAUAUUGGUAUGUGCUUCAUAGAACACCAAUCAUGUGUAUAUAUAUUUAUAUGAGUAAAGUGUAUUGGCGGUCCUUAAACUUGUAGGAUUAUGACAUAUAGGUCCCUAAACUCUUAAAAUGCAUAUUCAGAUUCCAGAAUUUGUCAAAGUGUAUCAUCUAGGUCCUAAAUUGACAUAUCCUCUUUAGGAUCAUAUGUGACACUGAUGUGGCAAUGCCACAUGGACUUGACGUGUCCUUUUCUUCUUCUU